rnacentral:lncRNA from 1 species
UUUUUAUUUUUUAUUUUAUACCCUUUUGAUUCUUUUUUUAAUACCCCAUUUUGCGGAGUUUUAUUUGUAACACGUUGCAAAAAAAUAAAUCAACCAGGGUAGUCAACACGGGGCACCCAUCAAUGGUAUUAAAAAAUAAAAAAGAAUUACACGGGUAUCACAAGAACCCCAUCCUCCCCCCCUGGUCCCCCCCGACCCCCCUGCACAGUCCACCACGGGGCUUCCUUUUUUGUUUCCCCCCAUUCUCUCCCCCGGUCUUCCCCGCCCUCCUCCUCCUCCUCCCUCCCCCCGCCCCCCCCCCGGUCCCCCCACCUCCCACCCCUCCUUUCUUUCUUGUUCCCACCCUUCCUCACCGGGGUCUUUCCCCCUCCUCCUCCCUCCCUCCCCCCUCCCCUCCCCGGGUUGCCCCCCGCCCGCGCGCUCGCGGGGCCGCGCGAGGGGGCUGCGCGCGCGCCGGGGGGGCGCCUUUUGGGUCCUUUUCUCCCCGCCCGGGCGCCCGUGGUGUCCUGGGGUGUCCGCGGCUUGGGCGGCUCCUUUUUCCCCUCUCCCGGGCGAAGUCCUUCUCCUUUUUUCCCUGUCAUGGGUACUUUGUGUCUUCCCGCCCCACCUUCGUCUGCGGUCCGUUUAAAUUCACCUGGUAGUGUCAGGGGGAAGGAAAAAAGCGAUAUAUGGCAAGAGGAGCACAUCAAGGAACCCAGCAGUAAAGGGGGGGCAAGUUUUUGCAGACUGGUGGAGUAUUUUUAGAAAAACUGGCAGCACUAGCGAAGAGCUGAUGGCCAAAUUAAUAAUAUCGUUUUAAGAGAUAAAGUAAAAAAUGUAAGUAUUUUAAGGAAGAAAUUGCAAUCUAACCCAUACCAAAACCUAUCGAGGGAGGAAUUACACUUUAUCUAUCUCCUUAAAAUCAAACAAGUCACUUCAACCUUAAACUAAUGGAAAAGAAACUAGUCCUUGGCCAUUGGGGAGAAGUAUGUGAGGGAUUAGUGGGAUUCUUAUUGUAUGUUCGGUUUUGAGUGAAUAGGCAGGCAUUUAAAAUUUAAAGCGAGUUGGUAAAAUUUGUGAUUUUCAAUGGAAUUCUGAAAUUUCCCGGGGUGGGGUGGGGUUGGGGGCGUGGGGGGUGGCGGUGGGUGGUUGGUGGUGUGAGAGAGGAGUAGCACAUAACACAUUGAUAUACCAUACCUAUAGGAGGAUAUUUGAAAAUGUAUUUUUCAUGAUACUUUAACAUUAAGUGCCAAAUUUUAAUAACUAAGGGGUUACCCCCCUUACUACUUUGGAUUUAGUUUACGGAGUUAAUAAAAAUAUGAAUAGUCUAACGGUAAAAAUUUUAAUUACCCUUUGAACCAAUAUGAUUUGAUAAUGGUAUUUUUAAUAAUUAAUUAUUUUAUAUGUAAUCUCAUACCAAUUAGGCUUUGUUUGUUUAGCAUUAUAAGUUAGUUAUCCUUAUACAUUAAUUUUUCCUAUUCUUUUUUAUUUUUAUUUAUUAUAUGAAAUUACUUAACCUUAAUUUUAGAUCCUCUUAUAUUAGGAACCAUAGUACAGAGUUAUUUUUAUAUUUUUUUAUCUAAUAAAGAGAAAAAAUAGUGCAUUUAACUAUUUAAGGAAAAGGAAAAGUGUGAAAAUUGGCACUCUAAUUUAUUUAGCUAUUUAACAAAUGUUAUCUUAUGUUGUGGUGUUGGGUAGUAAUUUUGAAUAAUUUUCCUAUCUUAUUUGACCCCGAAAAUUUAAAGUUUUUGAGUGGAGUUUUUAUUAGUGUAGGCAAAGGAUGAGUGGAAAUUAUAUUUAUAUAUAUAGAUAUAUAAUAUAUAUUAUAUCAUAUAUAUAUAUAUAGAUAUAUAAAAUAAAUAAUGUGGAAGAAAUGAAUCUCCUUAAUUUGUGUAAAUAUCUAUAUAUAUAUAUACUUUAUAUAUAUAUAUAAUGAAUAAUAGUGAAGAAUGAUCUCCCUUAAUUUGUUUAUAAAUUAUUUGAUCUAAACUCAAUUCGGCAAUGAAUUUAAGUAAAGAAGUAAAAAAUAAAUAAAAAAUAUUGAAAUUUAAGUUUGAACUAAGAUUUGAAUACCUUACAAAGUUUAAAACGGAUAGUAAGGUUUUAAAUGGAAAUAAACUUACGCAAUAAUUUUCCCCCUAUUUUUUUCCGGUUGUACUAUUUUUUCUAUUUUUAUUAGAUGAAUUUAUCAAAUUUUUCUUCAUUAUAGUUUAAAACACUCGAUACAAUAAUUUCAAAUAUAUAUAAAAGGUAUUUGGAGUAAAAAAUACAAUUAAGAGAAAAUUGUUGAAGUCACUAUCCUAAACUUAUCUCCAAUACCUAAAAAAAAUGUUAACCACCGCUCAAUAUGAGGUAGUUAGUAAGUGAAAAAUGCAUAAAUAUUAGUAUAAAUAUAUUAAAAUAUUUAAAAUAUCUAUAAAUAUCUUUAAAAUGUGUGAAUUAAAAGGUGAUUAAUUAAAAACACAAAACACAAUAAAAAAAAUUUAUUUUUUAUUUUUUAUUUUUUAUUUUUUAUUUUUUA